AGUGAACGCUAGCGGUAGGCCUAACACAUGCAAGUCGAACGGCAGCACAGUAAGAGCUUGCUCUUACGGGUGGCGAGUGGCGGACGGGUGAGGAAUACAUUGGAAUCUACUUUUUCGUGGGGGAUAACGUAGGGAAACUUACGCUAAUACCGCAUACGACCUACGGGUGAAAGCAGGGGAUCUUCGGACCUUGCGCGAUUGAAUGAGCCGAUGUCGGAUUAGCUAGUUGGCGGGGUAAAGGCCCACCAAGGCGACGAUCCGUAGCUGGUCUGAGAGGAUGAUCAGCCACACUGGAACUGAGACACGGUCCAGACUCCUACGGGAGGCAGCAGUGGGGAAUAUUGGACAAUGGGCGCAAGCCUGAUCCAGCCAUACCGCGUGGGUGAAGAAGGCCUUCGGGUUGUAAAGCCCUUUUGUUGGGAAAGAAAAGCAGCAGGUUAAUACCCCGCUGUUCUGACGGUACCCAAAGAAUAAGCACCGGCUAACUUCGUG
rnacentral:rRNA from 1 species